AUGGGCGGAGCAGUGCAAUUUUUAUCCAAUCCGCUAAAGCAUUGGGCGGAUGCUGUUAAUAAUAGAGAGGCUCCGCCCAUUGGAUGGGCAGAAGAGUACAAACUUGGUAAAAAGGGUCCAUUAAAAUCCCACUCCUUUGAUUAUGUAAUAUACUACAUAGGCAUGCAUGCCUAUAACAAACUGCAACCCUGCAUGCCAAGUUCUACCUGUGCGCAGAAGGAUUACAAGUCCUUGCAAGUAAAAGUUGAGUAA